CGCGUAGGCAAUCUACCCUCAGCAGGGGGAUAACCAGUGGAAACGCUGGCUAAUACCCCAUAAUGUCGUGGUACCGCAUGGUGCAACGAUCAAAGUUCAGGCGGCUGAGGAUGAGCCUGCGUUAGAUUAGCUAGUUGGUGGGGUAAAAGCCCACCAAGGCAACGAUCUAUAGCGGGUCUGAGAGGAUGAUCCGUCACACUGGCACUGAGACACGGGCCAG
rnacentral:rRNA from 1 species